UGCUUAACACAUGCAAGUCGAACGGCAGCAUGACCUAGCUUGCUAGGUUGAUGGCGAGUGGCGAACGGGUGAGUAACGCGUAGGAAUAUGCCUUAAAGAGGGGGAUAACCUGGGGAAACUCAGGCUAAUACCGCGUAAUUUCUUUGGAAAAAAGCUGGGGACCGUAAGGCCUGGCGCUUUAAGAUUAGCCUGCGUCCGAUUAGCUAGUUGGUGGGGUAAGGGCCUACCAAGGCGACGAUCGGUAGCUGGUCUGAGAGGAUGAUCAGCCACACUGGGACUGAGACACGGCCCAGACUCCUACGGGAGGCAGCAGUGGGGAAUAUUGGACAAUGGGGGCAACCCUGAUCCAGCAAUGCCGCGUGUGUGAAGAAGGCCUGAGGGUUGUAAAGCACUUUCAGUGGGGAGGAGUGGUUAGAAGGUUAAGAGCCAUUUGACUGGACGUUACCCACAGAAGAAGCACCGGCUAACUCCGUGCCAGCAGCCGCGGUAAUACGGAGGGUGCGAGCGUUAAUCGGAAUUACUGGG
rnacentral:rRNA from 1 species